UGGGCUAGAAUGCAGAUCGACCGUGGGUGACAGCUCAUUUUGUAGCAAUACACGGUCUGUAAGGUGCUGCAUGGCUGUCGUCAGCUCGUGCCGUGAGGUGUUGGGUUAAGUCCCGCAACGAGCGCAACCCCCAUCACUAGUUGCCAUCAGGUAACGCUGGGAACUCUAGUGAAACUGCCGUCGUAAGACGUGAGGAAGGAGGGGAUGAUGUCAAGUCAUCAUGGCCUUUAUGCCCAGGGCUACACACGUGCUACAAUGGGGAGGACAAAGAGCUGCCACUUGGUGACAAGGAGCUAAUCUCAAAAACCUCCUCUCAGUUCAGAUUGGAGUCUGCAACUCGACUCCAUGAAGCUGGAAUCGCUAGUAAUCGUAGAUCAGCAACGCUACGGUGAAUACGUUCCCGGACC
rnacentral:rRNA from 1 species